GACGAACGCUGGCGGCGUGCCUAAUACAUGCAAGUAGAACGCACAGUUUAUACCGUAGCUUGCUACACCAUAGACUGUGAGUUGCGAACGGGUGAGUAACGCGUAGGUAACCUGCCUGGUAGCGGGGGAUAACUAUUGGAAACGAUAGCUAAUACCGCAUAAUAUUGAUUAUUGCAUGAUAAUUAAUUGAAAGGUGCAAUUGCACCACUACCAGAUGGACCUGCGUUGUAUUAGCUAGUAGGUGAGGUAACGGCUCACCUAGGCGACGAUACAUAGCCGACCUGAGAGGGUGAUCGGCCACACUGGGACUGAGACACGGCCCAGACUCCUACGGGAGGCAGCAGUAGGGAAUCUUCGGCAAUGGACGAAAGUCUGACCGAGCAACGCCGCGUGAGUGAAGAAGGUUGUCGGAUCGUAAAGCUCGGUUGUAAGAGAAGAACGGGUGUGAGAGUGGAAAGUUCACACUGUGACGGUAUCUUACCAGAAAGGGACGGCUAACUACGUG
rnacentral:rRNA from 1 species